GUUUGACUCAUUCAGCUGAAGACUGUUCAUCACCAACAUGCUCCUCACAGUAUGUUCUCUGUCUCUUCUGUUGCAUUCAGGUCUCAGCAUCGUAGUUCUUCAGUCUGCAGAUCUGAUGAGCCUCCUAAGACACCCUCUGCUGCUGGAGUGCAGCCUGGGUGAAGGGUUCGACAUGAGCAGCCACACCCUGUACUGGUACCGACAGAAACACCACGGAGCUCAGAUAGAGUUCCUGACCAAAGAGUAUGACGACAGUUCGGGACGCUUCAAGUCGUCGAUCGAUACAGCCAAAAACAGCUUCACUCUUCAAGUUCCUGAGCUGUCUGCGGAUGACAGCAGCAUCUACUACUGUGCUGCCAGUCACAGUGAUGCAAACAGAGCAGACAGUCAUACCAAUAACAUGACAGAUGGCAGGAAGGAGCUGUGGCUUGUCUGGGUUUGAUCCAGCAGAGGAAAGCAGGUCGAGACACACUGGGAAAAUACUGGGAUUUUAGCUAAUAUUAACCAAAUAUAGCAGUUAUUUUAUGUGUUCCACGAGGGGCUAUUGGUUGUGCAGGAGUGCGAUAAUGUGUAAAAAAGCUGCAGAUUCAGAGAUACCUGCUGCAGAGAGGAUAAAACACAAACUACAGAGAGAAGACAUGCUCUCUUACAGCUCUUCACGUGU